AUUGAACGCUGGCGGCAGGCUUAACACAUGCAAGUCGAGCGGGGGAGGUUGCUUCGGUAACUGACCUAGCGGCGGACGGGUGAGUAAUGCUUAGGAAUCUGCCUAUUAGUGGGGGACAACAUUCCGAAAGGGAUGCUAAUACCGCAUACGCCCUACGGGGGAAAGCAGGGGAUCUUCGGACCUUGCGCUAAUAGAUGAGCCUAAGUCGGAUUAGCUAGUUGGUGGGGUAAAGGCCUACCAAGGCGACGAUCUGUAGCGGGUCUGAGAGGACGACCAGCCACACUGGGACUGAGACACGGUCCAGACUCCUACGGGAGGCAGCAGUGGGGAAUAUUGGACAAUGGGCGAAAGCCUGAUCCAGCCAUGCCGCGUGUGUGAAGAAGGCCUUCGGGUUGUAAAGCACUUUAAGCGAGGAGGAAUGGCUCUUGGUUAAUAACCUUGAGCAGUGACGUUACUCGCAGAAUAAGCACCGGCUAACUCUGUGCCAGCAGCCGCCGUAACAC
rnacentral:rRNA from 1 species